GAUGAACGCUAGCGGCAGGCUUAACACAUGCAAGUCGAGGGGUAUUGGUUUUCGGACCAAGAGACCGGCGCACGGGUGCGUAACGCGUAUGCAAUCAACCUUUUACAGAGGGAUAGCCCAGAGAAAUUUGGAUUAAUACCUCAUAGUAUAUAGACCUGGCAUCAGGAUUAUAUUAAAGUCACAACGGUGAAAGAUGAGCAUGCGUCCCAUUAGCUAGUUGGUAUGGUAACGGCAUACCAAGGCUACGAUGGGUAGGGGUCCUGAGAGGGAGAUCCCCCACACUGGUACUGAGACACGGACCAGACUCCUACGGGAGGCAGCAGUGAGGAAUAUUGGACAAUGGGCGCAAGCCUGAUCCAGCCAUGCCGCGUGCAGGAUGACGGUCCUAUGGAUUGUAAACUGCUUUUGCACAGGAAGAAACAACGCUACGUGUAGCGUCUUGACGGUACUGUGAGAAUAAGGAUCGGCUAACUCCGUGCCAGCAGCCGCGGUAAUACGGAGGAUCCAAGCGUUAUCCGGAAUCAUUGGGUUUAAAGGGUCCGUAGGCGGUCUUAUAAGUCAGUGGUGAAAUCUCCCCGCUCAACGGGGAAACGGCCAUUGAUACUGUAGGACUUGAAUUAUUAGGAAGUAACUAGAAUAUGUAGUGUAGCGGUGAAAUGCUUAGAGAUUACAUGGAAUACCAAUUGCGAAGGCAGGUUACUACUAAUGGAUUGACGCUGAUGGACGAAAGCGUGGGUAGCGAACAGGAUUAGAUACCCUGGUAGUCCACGCCGUAAACGAUGGAUACUAGCUGUUGGAAGCAAUUUCAGUGGCUAAGCGAAAGUGAUAAGUAUCCCACCUGGGGAGUACGUUCGCAAGAAUG
rnacentral:rRNA from 1 species